rnacentral:rRNA from 1 species
UACGUAGGGGGCGAGCGUUGUCCGGAGUUACUGGGCGUAAAGCGCACGCAGGCGGUCCUGCGCGUUUCUGGUGCCAGCCGGUCGCUUAACGACGGGAGUGCCAGGAAGACGGUGGGACUUGAGGGCCUCAGAGGGACAUAGAAUUCCGGGUGGAGUGGUGAAAUGCGUAGAUAUCCGGAGGAAUACCAAAGGCGAAGGCAGUGUCCUGGGAGGCAUCUGACGCUCAGGUGCGAAAGCCAGGGGAGCGAACGGG